rnacentral:tRNA from 1 species
UCACGGGUGGUGUAAGGUGAACAUCGCUGCCCGGAAAGCAGAAGAUGCGGGUUCGAGUCCCGCCUGGCGCA